UAUAGACCUUACUACAUAAAAUACUUUAUAAGUGACUUAUUUUUCCUUUUUUUUUUUUUUUUUGGACAUGUUACUCUUUAGGAAACUGUGAUUACAUAGCAAAAAAUGAGAUGUUUCAAAAUAAUUUUAAAUCAAUAUUUCCCUGGCUCAACAACUGAGAAAUGGCAUCUAAUAUGCAUGCUGCUGAAGUGGGGCUGGCAGUCAAGUAAAGGUGGAGAAUAACUAUCCCGAGCUUUGGGUGACACAGACACAAAAGACAACGGUUGCCUCUGAUCUGUAGCAGAAGGUGGAUUAAAAUGGUCCUGGAAGGUUCUACUUGGACAUAAGAGUAAACCCACAGUGAACUCUGAUGACUGCAUAGAAAGUCUUGUCAAUCUUGGCCUGAAGAUAUGGAUCAGUGCUAAAAACAAAAAGCCACAUGAGCUCCUGACAGAAAAUAAUUCUAUCACAAAGGCAAGACUUUGACAGCACCACCUUCCAUUUUGCUUAAUCAUAAAAUCAUCAAUUCCAGAAAAACGGAGUCAAUCAACAUAUUAAAGUAGAAUCUGAAAAACAAAACAAAUGAACAGACACCGAAAACCAAAAAGACAGAUAUAGGAAGCAAACUGGUUGCCAGAGGGAAGAGGUAGGGGAAUGGGUGAAACAGGAAAAGGAGAUUAAGAGGUACAAACCUUUAGUUUUAAAUAAGUGAGUCACUGGGUUGAAAAGGACAGCAUAGGGAAUAUAGUCAACAAUCUUGUAAUAAUGUUGUAUAGUGACGGUGACAGAUGAUAACUACACUU
rnacentral:lncRNA from 1 species